rnacentral:lncRNA from 1 species
UGGAAGAGAUUGAACUCACCUCAUGAAGCAGUGUUUUGCUGAGCUUGUAAUGCCAUUGUAAUUGGAUUGCUUGUGCAAUAAGGAUUUGUUAUUUCAGGGUGUGGUUGAAAGGAAGCUGAGAAGGGGGGAGCGGAUUGUACUUCAUAUGCUGGGGAGCAUAGAGGGACACUCAUCCUAUACAUGACGUACAGGCAGAGGGCCCAGAAUGCGUUUUGGAAACAUGAGAAAUAAAGAACUUAAAAUUCUGAGA